UACGGAGGGUGCAAGCGUUGUUCGGAUUUAUUGGGCGUAAAGCGCGCGCAGGCGGAUAAUCAAGUCAGAUGUGAAAUCUCGAGGCUUAACCUCGAAACUGCGUCUGAAACUGGUAAUCUAGAAUCUCAAAGGGGGUAGGGGAAUUUCACGUGUAGGGGUAAAAUCCGUAGAGAUGUGAAGGAACACCGGUGGCGAAGGCGCCUACCUGGAUGAGUAUUGACGCUGAGGCGCGAAAGCGUGGGGAGCAAAC
rnacentral:rRNA from 1 species